rnacentral:rRNA from 1 species
UACGUAGGGUGCGAGCGUUGCCCGGAUUUAUUGGGCGUAAAGGGCGCGUAGGCGGCCACGCACGUCCGUUGUGAAAUCGCCCGGCUCAACUGGGCGGGGUCAGCGGAUACGGUGUGGCUCGAGCAAGCUAGGGGCAAUGGAAUUCCCGGUGUAGUGGUGGAAUGCGUAGAUAUCGGGGAGGAACACCAGUGGCGGAAGGCGGUUGCCUGGAGCUUUGCUGACGCUGAGGCGCGAAAGCGUGGGGAGCGAUCCGG